rnacentral:lncRNA from 1 species
UUCUGUAUAUGGCACUAAUUGGUCAAUUACUCGUCAAGUAGUUGAUAGAGUUUACCUGUUGUCCGGAGCCACUCUGAAACUUGUUUAUCUGUUAAUUUAUUGAGACCUUCAUGGGCUCUUGGGCUUUUCCUGAGGGCUCAUCACCUGAUUUUAAUGAAUUUUCAAUUAGAUAAGUUGCACAUGAUGCAGUCGAAGGCACAGUCACAUUAAAUGUUAAAUGAUGGCCCCGAAAAUGCCAUUGGCAGUGAGAGUAGAGACCUGUGUCCAGCCUAGCCAUAAAUUAUGGAAUAAGC